AGAUUGAACGCUGGCGGCAGGCCUAACACAUGCAAGUCGAGCGGCAGCACGGGUACUUGUACCUGGUGGCGAGCGGCGGACGGGUGAGUAAUGCCUAGGAAUCUGCCUGAUAGUGGGGGGAUAACGUUCGGAAACGGACGCUAAUACCGCAUACGUCCUACGGGAGAAAGUGGGGGAUCUUCGGACCUCACGCUAUCAGAUGAGCCUAGGUCGGAUUAGCUAGUUGGUAGGGUAAAGGCCUACCAAGGCUACGAUCCGUAACUGGUCUGAGAGGAUGAUCAGUCACACUGGAACUGAGACACGGUCCAGACUCCUACGGGAGGCAGCAGUGGGGAAUAUUGGACAAUGGGCGAAAGCCUGAUCCAGCCAUGCCGCGUGUGUGAAGAAGGUCUUCGGAUUGUAAAGCACUUUAAGUUGGAGAAGGCAGUUGCCUAAUACGUAUCUGUUUUGACGUUACCGACAGAAUAAGCACCGGCUAACCCUGUCGACCAGCAGCCGUA
rnacentral:rRNA from 1 species